rfam:Capsicum annuum cultivar Zunla-1 chromosome 5, whole genome shotgun sequence
CCCACUGAGUUUAACCAUAUCUAUAAGCCGAGAAAAAAAACUUACAAGGAUUCCCGUAGUAACGGCAAGUGAAUCGGGAAUAACCCAGCCUUAGAAUCGGGGAGCUUUGUCAUCCGAAUUGUAGUCUGGAGAAUCAUUCUCAGAAAUAAACUGGGCCCAAGUCCCCUAGAAGGGGGCACCAUAGAGGGUGAGAGCCCCGUUGUACUCGGACCCUGUCGCACCAUAAGGCACUAUCUAUAAUUUGGGUUGUUUGGGAAUAUAGCCCAAAUCAGGUGAUGAAUUCCAUCUAAGGCUAAAUACAAGAGAAAGACCAAUAGCAAACAAGUACCGUGAGGGAAAUAUAAAAAGAACUUUGAAAAGAGAGUCAAGGAAUACUUGAAAUUAUCGAGAGGGAAGCGGAUAUGUCCAGUGGAUUAUGGGGAAGCGUAUGUGUCCCGUAGAUUUUGAAAAGGUAUAAUAAAGAGGUUGAAAAUCCGGGUAGAAAUAAGUUCAAAAUGUCUCCUCCUUUGAAUCUGAAGUAGUAUAAGACAAAGAUGGUGAAGAUACUUUAUUAUCAAAUUAUGGGAAAC